rnacentral:rRNA from 1 species
UACGGAGGGUGCAAGCGUUGUCCGGAUUCAUUGGGUUUAAAGGGUGCGCAGGCGGGCCAUUAAGUCAGGGGUGAAAGACGGUGCUCAACAAUCGCAGUGCCUUUGAUACUGGUGGUCUUGGGUGACCUUGAGGUAGGCGGAAUGGGUGGUGUAGCGGUGAAAUGCAUAGAUACCACCCAGAACUCCGAUUGCGAAGGCAGCCUACUGGAGGUUCACCGACGCUCAGGCACGAAAGCCGUGGGGAUCAAACAGG